AGGAUUAUAGUUUAAAAAAAACAUUUAAUUUGCAAUUAAAAAAUAUUGAAUUUCAAUUUAUCUU
rnacentral:tRNA from 1 species